rnacentral:snoRNA from 1 species
AUGAAGGUUACAUAGAGUACACCUGAUGUAUUUUUCCUACCCCUGCUUAAAGCAGUUGGUGCAGAAUAACUACAUGAUUUCUUAGCAAGGCAGAAACACUGGGUCUCAAACUG